UCACUUACCUGGACGGGGUCAAUGGGUGAUCAACGAGGCCUAUGGCCUACGCUAGUGACUUCCAUUGCACUUUGGAAGGGUACAAGUGUAAGAUCGACCCAAGUGGUCGAGUCUACGUCAUAAUUUGUGAUAGUGGGGGCCUGCGUUCGCGCGGCCCCUGC
rnacentral:snRNA from 1 species